GAGGUGGGAGUAUUGCUUAAGCCUGGAAGUUUGAGGCUGCAGUGAGCUGUGAUCAUACCACUGCACUCCAGCCUGAGUAACAGAGUGAGACCCUGUCUC
ensembl:miRNA